rnacentral:rRNA from 1 species
GCAGUCGAACGAAGCACUUAAGCCUGAUUCUUCGGAUGAAGGUUUUUGCGACUGAGUGGCGGACGGGUGAGUAACGCGUGGGUAACCUGCCUCAUACAGGGGGAUAACAGUUAGAAAUGACUGCUAAUACCGCAUAAGACCACGGAGCCGCAUGGCUCAGUGGGAAAAACUCCGGUGGUAUGAGAUGGACCCGCGUCUGAUUAGGUAGUUGGUGGGGUAACGGCCUACCAAGCCAACGAUCAGUAGCCGACCUGAGAGGGUGACCGGCCACAUUGGGACUGAGACACGGCCCAAACUCCUACGGGAGGCAGCAGUGGGGAAUAUUGCACAAUGGGGGAAACCCUGAUGCAGCGACGCCGCGUGAGCGAAGAAGUAUUUCGGUAUGUAAAGCUCUAUCAGCAGGGAAGAAAAUGACGGUACCUGACUAAGAAGCACCGGCUAAAUACGUGCCAGCAGCCGCGGUAAUACGUAUGGUGCAAGCGUUAUCCGGAUUUACUGGGUGUAAAGGGAGCGUAGACGGCUGUGUAAGUCUGAAGUGAAAGCCCGGGGCUCAACCCCGGGACUGCUUUGGAAACUAUGCAGCUAGAGUGUCGGAGAGGUAAGUGGAAUUCCCAGUGUAGCGGUGAAAUGCGUAGAUAUUGGGAGGAACACCAGUGGCGAAGGCGGCUUACUGGACGAUGACUGACGUUGAGGCUCGAAAGCGUGGGGAGCAAACAGGAUUAGAUACCCUGGUAGUCCACGCCGUAAACGAUGACUACUAGGUGUCGGGGAGCAAAGCUCUUCGGUGCCGCAGCAAACGCAAUAAGUAGUCCACCUGGGGAGUACGUUCGCAAGAAUGAAACUCAAAGGAAUUGACGGGGACCCGCACAAGCGGU